AUAAAGCUAGCAUACCGAAGUUA
rnacentral:miRNA from 11 species